rnacentral:rRNA from 1 species
GACGAACGCUGGCGGCGUGCUUAACACAUGCAAGUCGAACGGAAAGGCCCUGCUUUUGUGGGGUGCUCGAGUGGCGAACGGGUGAGUAACACGUGAGUAACCUGCCCUUGACUUUGGGAUAACUUCAGGAAACUGGGGCUAAUACCGGAUAGGAGCUCCUGCUGCAUGGUGGGGGUUGGAAAGUUUCGGCGGUUGGGGAUGGACUCGCGGCUUGUCAGCUUGUUGGUGGGGUAGUGGCUUACCAAGGCUUUGACGGGUGGCCGGCCUGAGAGGGUGACCGGCCACAUUGGGACUGAGAUACGGCCCAGACUCCUACGGGAGGCAGAAGUGGGGAAUAUUGCACAAUGGGCGGAAGCAUGAUGCAGCAACGCCGCGUGCGGGAUGACGGCCUUCGGGUUGUAAACCGCUUUCGCCUGUGACGAAGCGUGAGUGACGGUAAUGGGUAAAGAAGCACCGGCUAACUACGUG